rnacentral:rRNA from 1 species
GACGAACGCUGGCGGCGUGCUUAACACAUGCAAGUCGAGCGGUAAGGGCCCUUUCGGGGGUACACGAGCGGCGAACGGGUGAGUAACACGUGGGUGACCUGCCCGUUAGCUCUGGGAUAAGGCCUGGGAAACUGGGUCUAAUACCGGAUAUGACUCCAUGACGCAUGUUGUGGGGUGGAAAGCCUUGUGCGGCUAGGGAUGGGCCCGCGGCCUAUCAGCUUGUUGGUGGGGUGAUGGCCUACCAAGGCGACGACGGGUAGCCGGCCUGAGAGGGCGACCGGCCACACUGGGACUGAGACACGGCCCAGACUCCUACGGGAGGCAGCGAGUGGGGAAUCUUGCGCAAUGGGCGAAAGCCUGACGCAGCGACGCCGCGUGGGGAGUGACGGCC